GCCCGAUUAGCUCAGUUGGUAGAGCAUCUGGCUUGCAAGCAGAAGGUCGCAGGUUCAAGUCCUGUAUUGGGCU
rnacentral:tRNA from 1 species